rnacentral:rRNA from 1 species
UGGGGAAUUUUGGACAAUGGGCGCAAGCCUGAUCCAGCAAUGCCGCGUGCAGGAUGAAGGCCUUCGGGUUGUAAACUGCGUUUGUACGGAACGAAAAGCUUCUGGUUAAUACCUGGGAGUCAUGACGGUACCGUAAGAAUAAGCACCGGCUAACUACGUACCAGCAGCCGCGGUAAUACGUAGGGUGCGAGCGUUAAUCGGAAUUACUGGGCGUAAAGCGUGCGCAGGCGGUUAUGUAAGACAGAGGUGAAAUCCCCGGGCUCAACCUGGGAACUGCCUUUGUGACUGCAUGGCUAGAGUGCGGCAGAGGGGGAUGGAAUUCCGCGUGUAGCAGUGAAAUGCGUAGAUAUGCGGAGGAACACCGAUGGCGAAGGCAAUCCCCUGGGCCUGCACUGACGCCCAUGCACGAAAGCGUGGGGAGCAAACA